UAGAGUUUGAUCCUGGCUCAGGAUGAACGCUAGCGGCAGGCUUAAUACAUGCAAGUCGAGGGGCAGCAGGGCUGUAGCAAUACACUCGCUGGCGACCGGCAAACGGGUGCGGAACACGUACGCAACCUACCCAUAACUGGGGGAUAGCCCGGGGAAACCCGGAUUAAUACCUCGUAAUACAAUUGAGUGGCAUCAUUUGAUUGUUAUAGCUCCGGUGGUUAUGGAUGGGCGUGCGCCUGAUUAGGUAGUUGGCGGGGUAACGGCCCACCAAGCCUGCGAUCAGUAACUGGUGUGAGAGCACGACCAGUCACACGGGCACUGAGACACGGGCCCGACUCCUACGGGAGGCAGCAGUAAGGAAUAUUGGUCAAUGGAGGCAACUCUGAACCAGCCAUGCCGCGUGAAGGAUGAAGGUCCUCUGGAUUGUAAACUUCUUUUAUAGGGGACGAAACCCGGAUAUUCUUAUCCGAUUGACGGUACCCUGGGAAUAAGCACCGGCUAACUCCGUGCCAGCAGCCGCGGUAAUACGGAGGGUGCAAGCGUUAUCCGGAUUCACUGGGUUUAAAGGGUGCGUAGGAGGGCAGGUAAGUCAGUGGUGAAAUCCUGGGGCUUAACCCCAGAACUGCCAUUGAUACUAUCUGUCUUGAAUACAGUGGAGGUGAGCGGAAUAUGUCAUGUNNNGGUGAAAUGCUUAGAUAUGACAUAGAACACCAAUUGCGAAGGCAGCUCGCUACACUACUAUUGACUCUGAGGCACGAAAGC
rnacentral:rRNA from 1 species